UUCUUUCAGAGGUUAAAGUAAAAAAAAAAAAGAGGGGGGUAUAAAUAUUAACUCACUUGUCCGCCUCCUUUCUCCGCCCAUUGACUAACUAAGAAAAAAAAAAUCGUAAUGUAGUAAUACCUACAGUUAGGUCAUAAACGAUGUCGUAAAAGAGUAGAAAUUUUAUCAGGUAACGCACGGCCAUGUAAUCGAAAAAAACAAAAAUGGACCUUUGACCGGAAAAAAAAAAAAAAUUAUCGCCAUUGAUGAACGACUUGUGAACAGCUGGUGCCACUAGGUGGCGAAAAAUGUCGUUUUUCAUUCAGAUAAUUUGAAUCCCAUUCUCCAAUAUCAAUGGCAAACAUUUUGGAUAAACUUCCGGUGAAGACACUUAGGUGUCCUCUUUUAUUUUCGAGUGACCAUUUUUAUUUUUUUUUUCUUACACUAUUUUAUUGACAAUCAAAGGCAACGGUGUCGUAUACCUUUAGGGCCAUUUUCAAGUGCCGGACAUGUCACAAUAACAAAAAGGGAUCGUUCUCUCUCUUGUGUGUUUUACUUGAAAAGAACUGAAUCAUAGGAUCGCCUUUCCAAUAAAACUGGAGAAAGGGUAUUAAAAAAUAAAGUUCAAUUUUGUGAACAAAGAAAAACGGAUGUGCUCGUUAUAUAAUAAUGGCCGUCAAAAAAAAAAUAUUCCACAAUUAUCCAAUCCGGAAAUCCAAUCAACUUAACAAACGAAUUCAUUAUAAUUUCUUUAAGGAAAGGGGGAAAAAAUGCUGACCUACCCUUAAAAUUAGAAAUAAUUUUUUAAAAAACAUUUUCUGUUUGGUCAAUGUUAUCUCAUCUGUUUGGUAUCGUCUUAUGUGUUGGCUAACUUCUUAAGGGAUACGUUACACGCUACAUAAAGCAAGUCAUGUAUACUCGUUUUGUUGUGACUGUUGCAUUUAAACAUUUAUCUUUUUGAAGUACAAAUGUCUAGAAUUUA